AGCAGCCGCGGUAAUUCCAGCUCCAAUAGCGUAUAUUAAAGUUGUUGCAGUUAAAAAGCUCGUAGUUGAAUUUUGGGUCUGGCCGGGCGGUCCGCCCUCUGGGUGAGCACUGUUCCGACGCCGGGCCUAUCCUUCUGGUGAGUCGGCAUGUCCUUUGUUGGGUGUGUCGGGGAACCAGGACCAUUACCUUGAAAAAAUUAGAGUGUUCAAAGCAGGCGUAUGCUCGGAUACAUUAGCAUGGAAUAAUGAAAUAGGACGCGUGGUGCUAUUUUGUUGGUUUCUAGAACCGCCGUAAUGAUUAAUAGGGAUAGUUGGGGGCAUUAGUAUUCAAUUGUCAGAGGUGAAAUUCUUGGAUUUAUUGAAGACUAACUUCUGCGAAAGCAUUUGCCAAGGAUGUUUUCAUUAAUCAAGAACGAAAGUUAGGGGAUCGAAGACGAUCAGAUACCGUCGUAGUCUUAACCAUAAACUAUGCCGACUAGGAAUCGGGCGAUGUUAUUC
rnacentral:rRNA from 1 species